UGAUUGCUGAAACAGCCCUGUGAGGUGGGCCUCCUUAUCUCUAGUGUACAGAGGAGAAUCUGAGGCUCAAAGAGGCUGAAUCAUGGCCCCACGUUGGAACGGUCCUGCCUGGAUCUCCAGCCCAGCUGUCAGGCUACGCAAAAGGCCUCCAAAAGAAAACAGAGGCUUUGUGUUUGCACGGGGACUCGCACAGCUCACCAGGAUCAAAGGCCAAGGAGUCUCUGGCAGGAAUUAGGCCACCCCCACCUACCAGCAGGUAUUCCCGGGAAACCAUUGAGGAAGCAGGAGACAGCCAGGCCAGGCCGGCUCAUCAAAGGCCAGACGUGCUAGGGUCUCUGUUCUUUGGAAGGCACAAGCAAAGCGAGCUUGUCACCUGCUGACUUAGAGGGGAAAGGGAGAGAGGAACCCAGAUAGCGUGGAGGCUGCGGUGGAUCCACUCAGUGGGGGAUCCGUGUCUCUCCAAGGGGGCUACAGCUGGAAGCAGCCACAGCACAGAGGGGAGAGUGCUGCAUUUCUGUGUGAUGAGCUUGAAGCAGGCAUCCACGUAGAUUUGUACUAGAGGCACCUGAAGACGCAGACGGGGAACUGGGACGCAGGUUUCCGUAAUGAUGAGGAUGGAUGAGGUUGUUUCUUCCCGCCCAAGUCUAGUCCCCUUCGCCUCCCACCAUUUGGCCUCGGAGGACCAGCUUCCUGAAAAUAAUUUCUGAACAGAGCCUGACCCACUCUUUCCUAGUCCUUGCCUUCAAGAAUGUGGGGGCCAUCUGUGUCGGGGCAGAGUCUACAGCGGCAGAUGUUGUGUUUUGUUGCUCCAGGAACGGGCUGCAUGUGGAAGCCCUUGCUGGUUUCUGUGUUGAGUUUACCGCCAAGUUAGCUCUUACCUCCCGUGCUCAAAGACGACUGACCAGCUUGAAGUGGACUGAAGAACAUUUAACCACUUAAUAGUCUUCAGACAGACCACGGACUUUCCCUGAAUACCUGGCACACGGGGAAUGUGCUGUGAAAUUUGCUGAGUGAGUGGACAAAUGAAAACGUGGUCUCCUUCUACUUCCAGCUUGAAAAGGUAAAUCACACCGUGCAGAUGUUAUCAAGAUAUGAAGUGCCUUAUAAAUAU